UGCGGAACUAUAUUGGAUAGCGGCUGUUCAGUAAAAUCGCUGCGUUUUGGGUAUAUAUAGUGAAGAAUCAACAAAUUCCAUCUUUUGUUCCUUGGGCGAACACAAAUGGGAGCAAAGGGAAAGGACACACCUCCGCACAUGAAUCCUUGCCACUGUGUACCUCUUCUCGUCAGUACCAGUUGCUACGCGCUCCCCCUUGUUGGUGGGUCCAUCGUCAAUUUGCUCCCUGCUUCCCUGGUCCCGUCCUUAGAUCUGCUCAGUCCAACAUGAGAAUAUUGAUCACUGGAGGAGCUGGAUUCAUUGGGUCUCACCUGGUUGAUGAUUGAUGGAAAAUGAAAAAAAGAGGAUGCUGUGGUCUCUCAAAAUUGGUUGUCUACUUUGUUUCUCUCUGAAGGUAAUUAAUUCUUUUGUUUCUAUUUUUUAAUGAUACUAUUAUGACUUUUAUUUUUUCUAUUUGGUUGCAUUGAUGUUUACCAUUAUGAACAUAUGGUCUCUUAUUUCAAUGUGUACUAUGCUCUUAAUUUUUUGAAAAGUGAGAGAAGAAUCUACUUGUAAUGAGGGGAAGAGUUUUGGUACAGGAUCUCAGAUUCAUGACAAGGGACAUAAGGAUGAGGUGUGAAUUUUUGUUGUUUUUAUUAUUCUAAAUGCAAUGGUUGUUCUAUGACAGUUCUUACAUGUUUAGCAAUAUGGAUUAUGGAAUAAGCAAUAUAUAUUGGCAUGUAGUUUAUUUUUCAUACAAUAGGAAAUGCUUCAAGAUAAGUCGCUGAAGCUGUUAGCUGGUGUAUGCUUUUUCUUUCUACUAAGCUUGCAAUGUUAUUUCUAGUUUCUGGACAAUGGAGAGCAUGUUUCAUAGAUGAAAUGUGUAACACCCUACCAUAUAGAGUCUUAUGCUUAAGUCAUAAUUCAGAGAUGGCAAGGUAUUACGACCUCUAAAAUAAAAAUUUAGUACGAAUAAUAUUGUGAAAAAUGAUUAUAACUAGGAGCCUUUUUAAGAAAAAGGGGUCAAACAAAAUUCGUAACUCAAAAGCGCAACACUUCAAUCGGUAACGUAACGAACAAGGAAAAAUGAUGCACAAAAUUGUGUAUGCCAAUAUUAAUAGACUAUUUCUCACAGCUUCGCACAACUAACCAGCAAGAGCACUAGGUCGUCCAAGUAAUACCUUAUGUGAGUAAAGGUCGAAUCCCACGGAGAUUGUUGGUUUGAAGCAAUCUAUGGUUAUCUUGUAACUCUUAGUCAGGAUAUCAAUUUUUAUUAUCAAGUGGAAUUGCAAAUAAAUAAAAGAGCAUGAAAUAAAUACUUAUUAUGCAGUAAUGGAGAAUAUGUUGGUGUUUUGGAGAUGCUUUGCCCUCUGAAUUUCAGCUUUUCCCCUGUCCUCCUCUUCACACACGCAAGGUUCCUCCUAUGGCAAGCUGUAUGUAGGGUGUCACCGUUGUCAAUGGCUACUUCCCAUCCUCUCAGUAAAAAUGGUCCAAAUGCUCUGUCAUAGCACGGUUAAUUAUCUGUCGGUUCUCGAUCAUGUCAGAAUAAGAUCCAUUGAUUCUUUUGCGUCUGUCACUAUGCCCAACACUCGCGAGUUUGAAGCUCAUCACAGUCAUCCAAUCCCAGAAUCCUAUUCGAAAUACCACAGACAAGGUUUAGACUUUCCGGAUUCUCAAUUAUGCUGCCAAUGGAUUCUAGCUUAUACCACGAAGAUUCUGAUUAAGGAAUCUAAGAGAUACUCAUUCAAUCUAAUGUAGAACGGAGGUGGUUGUCAGGCACACGUUCAUGGAUUGAGGAAGGUGAUGAGUGUCACGGAUCAUCACCUUCUUCAUAGUGAAGCACGAAUGAACAUCUUAGAUAGGAACAAGCGUGUUUGAAUGGAAAACAAAAAUAAUUGCAUUAAUUCAUCGAGACGCUGCAGAGCUCCUCACCCCCAACAAUGGAGUUUAGAGACUCAUGCCAUUAAAAGGUACAAAGUUCAGAUCUAAAAAUAUCAUGAGAUACAAAAUAAGUCUCUAAAAGUUGUUUAAAUACUAAACUAGUAACCUAGGUUUAUAGAAAAUGAGUAAACUAAGAUAAUUGGUGCACAAAUCCACUUCUGGGGCCCACUUGGUGUGUGCUGGGGCUGAGACUUAAGCUUCUCACGUGCCUGAGCUGUUUCUGGAGUUGAACGCCAGGUUGUAACCUAUUUCUGGCGUUGAACUCAAACUUGCAACCUGUUUCUGGCGCUGAACGCCAGACUGCAAUAUGGAACUGGCGUUGAACGCCAGUUUACCUCAUCUAUCUUCAGGCAAAGUAUGAACUAUUAUAUAUUGCUGGAAAGCCCUAGAUGUCUACUUUCCAACCCAAUUGAGAGCGCGCCAAUUGGACUUCUGUAGCUCCAAAAAAUCCAUUCCGAGUGCAGGGAGGUCAGAAUCCAACACCAUCAGCAGUCCUUUUUCAGCCUGAAUCAGAUUUUUGCUCAGCUCCCUCAAUUUCAGGCAGAAAAUACCUGAAAUCACAGAAAAGCACACAAACUCAUAGUAAAGUCCAAAAAUAUAAUUUUUGCCUAAAGACUAAUAAAAAUCUACUAAAAACUAACUAAAACAUACUAAAAUCUACAUGAAAUUACCCCCAAAAAGCGUAUAAAAUAUCCGCUCAUCACAACACCAAACUUAAAUUGUUGCUUGCCCCCAAGCAACUAGAUAAAUAAAAUAGGAUAAAAAUAAAUUAAGAAGCAAUGAUAUCUCAGAGUUUUAAGUGAAGCUCAAAUUCCAAUUAGAUGAGCAGGACUAGUAGCUUUUUGCUUCUGAACAGUUUUGGCAUCUCACUUUAUCCUUUGAAAUUCAAAAUGAUUGACAUCCAUAGGAAUUCAGAAUUCAGAUAGUAUUAUUGAUUCUCCUAGUUUAGUAUGUUGAUUCUUGAACACAGUUACUUUAUGAGUCUUGGCCGUGGCCCUAAGCACUUUGUUUUCCAGUAUUACCACCGGAUACAUAAAUGCCACAAACACAUAAUUGGGUGAACCUUUUCAGAUUGUGACUUAGCUUUGUUAGAGUCCCCAAUUAGAGGUGUCUAGAGUUCUUAAGCACACUCUUUUGCUUUGGAUCACGACUUUAACCACUCAGUCUCAAGCUUUUCACUUGGACCUGCAUGCCACAAGCACAUGGUUAGGGACAGCUUGAUUUAGCCGCUUAGGCCUGGAUUUAUUUCCUUGGGCCCUCCUAUCCAUUGAUGCUCAAAGCCUUGGAUCCUUUUCACCCUUGCCUUUUGGUUUAAAGGGCUAUUGGCUUUUUCUACCUCUUUUGCUUUUCUCUUUUUUUUUUCUUUUUUU